AGUGAACGCUGGCGGUAGGCCUAACACAUGCAAGUCGAACGGCAGCACAGUAAGAGCUUGCUCUUACGGGUGGCGAGUGGCGGACGGGUGAGGAAUACAUCGGAAUCUACUUUUUCGUGGGGGAUAACGUAGGGAAACUUACGCUAAUACCGCAUACGACCUACGGGUGAAAGCAGGGGAUCUUCGGACCUUGCGCGAUUGAAUGAGCCGAUGUCGGAUUAGCUAGUUGGCGGGGUAAAGGCCCACCAAGGCGACGAUCCGUAGCUGGUCUGAGAGGAUGAUGAGCAACACUGGAAAAGAGACACGGGGCAGAAGCAUAAGGGAGGCAGCAGUGGGGAAUAUUGGAAAAUGGGCGCAAGACGGAACCAGACAGAGCGCGUGGGUAAAAAAGGCAUGCGAGUUGUAAAGAGCGUUUGAUGGGAAAGAAAAGCAGAAAGGUAAUAACCCGCUGUUCUGACGGGACCAAAAGAAUAAGCACGGGCUAACUUAGUG
rnacentral:rRNA from 1 species